UUUCAAUUAUGUCCUGCACAGUACGAGUA
rnacentral:piRNA from 1 species